rnacentral:rRNA from 1 species
GACGAACGCUGGCGGCGGGCUUAACACAUGCAAGUCGAACGGAAAGGCCCUGCUUUUGUGGGGUGCUCGAGUGGCGAACGGGUGAGUAACACGUGAGUAACCUGCCCUGGACUUUGGGAUAACUUCAGGAAACUGGGGCUAAUACCGGAUAGGAGCUCCUGCUGCAUGGUGGGGGUUGGAAAGUUUCGGCGGUUGGGGAUGGACUCGCGGCUUAUCAGCUUGUGGGGGGGGUAGUGGCUUACCAAGGCUUUGACGGGUAGCCGGCCUGAGAGGGUGACCGGCCACAUUGGGACUGAGAUACGGCCCAGACUCCUACGGGAGGCAGCAGUGGGGAAUAUUGCACAAUGGGCGGAAGCCUGAUGCAGCAACGCCGCGUGUGGGAUGACGGCCUUCGGGUUGUAAACCGCUUUAGCCUGUGACGAAGCGUGAGUGACGGUAAUGGGUAAAGAAGCACCGGCUAACUACGUG